rnacentral:rRNA from 1 species
UACUGCAAGUCGAGCGAACAGACGAGGAGCUUGCUCCUCUGACGUUAGCGGCGGACGGGUGAGUAACACGUGGAUAACCUACCUAUAAGACUGGGAUAACUUCGGGAAACCGGAGCUAAUACCGGAUAACAUGUUGAACCGCAUGGUUCAACAGUGAAAGACGGUCUUGCUGUCACUUAUAGAUGGAUCCGCGCCGCAUUAGCUAGUUGGUAAGGUAACGGCUUACCAAGGCAACGAUGCGUAGCCGACCUGAGAGGGUGAUCGGCCACACUGGAACUGAGACACGGUCCAGACUCCUACGGGAGGCAGCAGUAGGGAAUCUUCCGCAAUGGGCGAAAGCCUGACGGAGCAACGCCGCGUGAGUGAAGAAGGUCUUCGGAUCGUAAAACUCUGUUAUUAGGGAAGAACAAAUGUGUAAGUAACUAUGCACGUCUUGACGGUACCUAAUCAGAAAGCCACGGCUAACUACGUGCCAGCAGCCGCGGUAAUACGUAGGUGGCAAGCGUUAUCCGGAAUUAUUGGGCGUAAAGCGCGCGUAGGCGGUUUUUUAAGUCUGAUGUGAAAGCCCACGGCUCAACCGUGGAGGGUCAUUGGAAACUGGAAAACUUGAGUGCAGAAGAGGAAAGUGGAAUUCCAUGUGUAGCGGUGAAAUGCGCAGAGAUAUGGAGGAACACCAGUGGCGAAGGCGACUUUCUGGUCUGUAACUGACGCUGAUGUGCGAAAGCGUGGGGAUCAAACAGGAUUAGAUACCCUGGUAGUCCACGCCGUAAACGAUGAGUGCUAAGUGUUAGGGGGUUUCCGCCCCUUAGUGCUGCAGCUAACGCAUUAAGCACUCCGCCUGGGGAGUACGACCGCAAGGUUGAAACUCAAAGGAAUUGACGGGGACCCGCACAAGCGGUGGAGCAUG